CUCCCCCACGCCCCCUCCGCUCGGGAGGCCGCCGCGGUCGCGGAGCGGUUGGACAUCUGCAGGCUGUAAUCUCUGGCUUUGAUGGGCAUUGUUUUUCAAACUGUCAUAGAGCCCUGAAGACAUCAUGUUGGCUUCUUUUGAACAAGAGACCAGCUGCAGAAUUCUUCUGUUGUUCCACCUCACCAUUACACUGAAACAGAGAACCAAAUCAAGACCUCAUGAGUUUGCUGAAGAAAGUCCUGGUUCCCUCCUGGCACCUGUAUACCCAUUUCUUUCACUGGGAUUGGAUGGCUUCCAGAGAGAUUCCUUCAUAGCUGCUGAAAGAAGCUUCAAUUUCAGGAUGUGACAGGGAUGGGAAUGCAAGACAUUCAUGUGGAACUGUCUGAAACAACAUAGAACCUAUGGGAUACUCACGCUUCCUCGGAGUGACAGCUGAAGGAAGAUACAGUGCAUAUGGAAAUCAGCAAAUUUACACAUCCUUAAAUGACCAUGGGAAGACCAUACCACCAACUGCUGAAAUCAUCCCAAAAUACUGAUACUAUAUGUAUCAAAAAGACAGACAAAUUCAGACAAUACCUUUCACUAACAAACUUUCACUUCAGUGAUUCCUGUUUUAGAUACUAAACUGAUCCUUACAGUGUUCCCUCUUUUGUGUUGAAAAAAAGGAGCACUCAGGCACUAGACUCUUUUCAAAUGGAAUUGAUUUUUUAAAUGCAGCUAUAUUGUUAGGAAAUGUAUGUAUUAGUAAAGUAGAUGCCCAAAUGAUCUCACCCAUUUAGUAAACUAUUCAAACAUCAUAGACUUUUCUCUGGAUUAAUCUGAAGAUUACACUUAGAAAAGAACUGGAAUAUGUAAAACAGUUUAAAUCAGUUCUUCCAAAAAUAAGAAAAUAAUAAUACAAAAAAAAAAAUCACCACAUCUUGAGGAAUGACAUUAUAUUACAAAUAUGAGAAAAAAAGCAGUAGUAAACAUGGUCUUCAUUUUAUGUGUGCAUUAUAAAACUUGAAACACUUAGAAACACCUAGAGGACAUAACUGACCUUUUAUAUUGCUUUAAAUAGUUAGUAUGCAUAGAAAUAGGAAGAAUUUCACAGUAUGCCUGGAUAUUUUUGUGUAGCAAUCUUCUAUACUAUUUUGCUGAAUAGAAUAAGAAUUCUACAUACAAAUUUCUGUGACUAACAAUGAAAAAAUAAAAUAUUCUCCAAACAGACUGUAUUUCUCUAUGUCCCUGAUACCACACAGGCCGCAUUGUGAUUGUAAGGUCUGUGGCAAGGGACUAGUCUCUUGUUAUAUGUUUUUGAAGUGUCAGUGAUAAACUUUUGUUAGGGAUUCUGUGAGACUUUGGCUAUAAUAAAAAUGGAUAUUUUAAAAA